CAGCGCAUGGCUUAACUAGAUAAAGCGUCUCCCUUACACUGAGAAGACUGUCCGUGCAAAUCGGAUUGCCCUGA
rnacentral:tRNA from 2 species